UAAAUCAGUAUCUCAACAAGACCCAUUCAGCUCAAGAUGGAACAUCUCAUGUAGUAUCAGGUAUAAAUCAGUAUCUCAACAAGACCCAUUCAGCUCAAGAUGGAACUAUCAGGCAGUCAGUAAUCUAGCAAAACAAAAACAAAACUAACCAUGCUUCAAACAAGAAUAAUUGGUGAGGCAAAGAUCUCACAGAAUGAAGAUCUCGCUAUUUCUAUGUAAAUUACAAGAUCGGUGACAACAAGGAGCACUAACAAAUAUGCCCGCUACACAUCAUCCAUCAGGGCAAUCUUGGAAGAGCAACUUUGUCGAAUGAAAGAAAGCUGACCCGCCCAUUAUCCACAUGGCAAUACUUGAGAGGAAUACCCCCAAAAUUGUUUUCCACCAUUUCCAAUUCAAUCCUUGAGGGGGGCUUAUUCCUGCACCAGAUUGAAAAACAAUGUCAAUGUCUUCUUUUAGGACUUUAAGUCAACCAGUCAAAGUUGUGAUAGUCUGAUACAAACAUUGAUCAACAAAGUAUAUGAGAGCAACCCUAUUACGUAAUAAAUUUUAUUCAUAUGCUAUAACCAAAAGUCAUCUUGGCAUCUUUUUUUCUUUACUUUCGUAACAGUAUCUGCACUUUAUAAAUUUGC
rnacentral:lncRNA from 1 species